UUCCUUCAACAGGAUAUAUUCUAAAAUAGGAAUGAUACAUAGAAGAUUGCAUGGCCCUCUGCACAAGGAUGACAUGCAGGUUCUUGAAGUGUUCCGUAUUUUU